rnacentral:rRNA from 1 species
UGGGAAUCUACCUAGCUCUUCGGAAUAGCUCCGGGAAACUGGAAUUAAUACCGAGUACGCCCUACGGGGAAAGAUUUAUCGGAGUUAGAUGAGCCCGCGUUGGAUUAGCUAGUUGGUGGGUAACGGCCUACGAAGGCGACGAUCCAUAGCUGGUCUGAGAGGAUGAUCAGCCACACUGGGACUGAGACACGGCCCAGACUCCUACGGGAGGCAG